UACGGAGGGGACUAGCGUUGUUCGGAAUUACUGGGCGUAAAGCGCACGUAGGCGGUUUUGUAAGUCAGGGGUGAAAUCCCGGGGCUCAACCUCGGAACUGCCUUUGAUACUGCAAAUCUCGAGUCCGGAAGAGGUGAGUGGAAUUCCUAGUGUAGAGGUGAAAUUCGUAGAUAUUAGGAAGAACACCAGUGGCGAAGGCGGCUCACUGGUCCGGUACUGACGCUGAGGUGCGAAAGCGUGGGGAGCAAACAGG
rnacentral:rRNA from 1 species